rnacentral:rRNA from 1 species
CAGCCGCCGCGGUAAUACGUAGGGUGCAAGCGUUAAUCGGAAUUACUGGGCGUAAAGCGUGCGCAGGCGGUUAUAUAAGACAGAUGUGAAAUCCCCGGGCUCAACCUGGGAACUGCAUUUGUGACUGUAUAGCUAGAGUACGGCAGAGGGGGAUGGAAUUCCGCGUGUAGCAGUGAAAUGCGUAGAUAUGCGGAGGAACACCGAUGGCGAAGGCAAUCCCCUGGGCCUGUACUGACGCUCAUGCACGAAAGCGUGGGGAGCAAACAGGAUUAGAUACCCCGUAGUCCCUGUCUCUUAUACA